ACCGCCUAAGAACGUCUAAGAUUCGAUGAUAAGCAAAUGGAUUACUGCAAAAAUUCAGUGUGUACCUCUGUCGUUCUAAUGGACUGAAGAGAACAAUAAAGUCAUCACGUUUUGGAAAGUCGUUCUAAUGGAUCCUUUCCAACAAAUCGAGUAGCGGCAACGGCUUUAUGUCAAGCCUUGUAGACAACAAACGCACAAAUUUCCUCUCUUAACUCAAAAAAAAAAUCAUUAUCUCCAAAAUGGUUGAUGGAAGGGAAAACCUUUUUCUCUUGCCUAGUGUACUGACAUCUUUGUUUGACUUACA
rnacentral:lncRNA from 1 species